GCCAUACAAGCUAGAACCGCCACAUACACUUGAAACAAAUAGCCAAACUGAAAACUGCAGACAAAAAUGCUUUCUGCUACUAAGAUCAGUGAAAUGUAGGCUAAACUGACAGAGUGAAGAGCAGAAAUGUCAGCUAGCAAGCAAGUCACAGUAACGAAGAACGCGAAGGGGGGAUUCUGGGGGGAGAUUUUCGACACAACACCUGUGCAGAAGCAAAGGCUACGUAUGUAUUACAGGAGUCAUGCUUUUACUCCUCGGUUUGCUCAGAGCCUGAUGAGGAGAGGCUAAUAUAGUUGUGUAUGGCAGUCCAGACGGCAGCAUCAAGCUUGGCUUUGUAUUUGUAUCCAUUCCAUGCAGUCACUAAAAGAGAGACAACCAGCAGAAUUGUGUCCAGAGACUUGUCUUCCACCUACACAUCACCAGAACACAACGCAGAAAGG